rnacentral:tRNA from 1 species
AUCUAAAUAGUUUAAUAAAAAUAUUGGUUUGUGGUGCCGAUGAUAUAAUGUAUUUAUUUUAGAUU